rnacentral:snoRNA from 7 species
CGUCUGUGAUGUUCUGCUAUUACCUACAUUGUUUGAUGCUCAUGAAAGAACCACUGGCUGAGACGC